rnacentral:rRNA from 1 species
GGAGGAAUAUUGGGCAAUGGACGAAAGUCUGACCCAGCAACGCCGCGUGAAGGAUGAAGGCCUUCGGGUCGUAAACUUCUUUUGAGGGAGACGAGAAAGGACGGUAUCCCUCGAAUAAGCCACGGCUAACUACGUGCCAGCAGCCGCGGUAAAACGUAGGUGGCGAGCGUUAUCCGGAUUCAUUGGGCGUAAAGAGCUUGUAGGUGGUGCGAUAAGUUGGACGUGAAAACUCCGGGCUUAACUUGGAGAGGCCGUUCAAUACUGUUGUGCUAGAGGGCGUCAGAGGGAAGUGGAAUUCCUGGUGUAGCAGUGAGAUGCGUAGAUAUCAGGAGGAACAUCCGUGGCGAAGGCGGCUUCCUGGGGCGCACCUGACACUGAGAAGCGAAAGCUAGGGGAGCAAAACGGGAUUAGAAAACCCCGGUAGUCCUAGCUGUAAAACGAUGGAUGCUAGGUGUGAGUGGAUCUAACCCCGCUCGUGCCGAAGCUAACGCGUUAAGCAUCCCGCCUGGGAACUACGAGCGCAAGCUUAAAACUUAAAUGAAUUGACGGGGUCAUAGCUGUUUCC